AGACUAGUAGUAGUAGAUACGCUGAGGCAAAAACGACACCGUGCCUUGCGUUCCGUAACCGCCGAAUAUAUAAAUAUCAAAAGCUUCUUCAUUUGUUCCUCACUGUCAGUUGGCGUUCUUCGGAAGCUCGAAAAUCUAGAGAGAACCAUAUUCACAAGUAAAGCACAAGAAUGGAAGGCACUGUCUUCACCCCUGCUUUAGAAGGAAUCAAACAUGUCAAAUCUGAGGAAGGAGUAAUGCUUACCAAACCUUUCUUAGAUGUUUGCAAACACAUCUUGCCUAUUAUAGAAAAGUUUGGAGCUGCCAUGGCACUGGUCAAGUCUGACAUUGGUGGAAAUAUAACGGUCGGUCUCCAAUCUUUGCCUUUUAUCUGAAAACCUAUAUUUCGGUGCGGCUAUACAAAUAUCA